UGCCUCUGCUUAGCCCCCUCCCACACACU
rnacentral:piRNA from 1 species